rnacentral:rRNA from 1 species
GGGGGAUAAAUUAAUAAAGUAUAAAUAAUAAAAAAAUUUUUAAUAUUAAAAUAUUUUAAUGGGGGUUAAAGUAUAUUUAAUAGAAAAAAUAAAAAAAUUUAUAGAAAAUUAGUAUUGUAAAAGAAAUUUGAAAUAUAUUGAAAAUAAAUUUAUUUAAAAGUAAAUUUAAUUUAUUGUAUCUUGUGUAUCAGAGUUUAUUAAUAAUAAUUUUUAUAUAUAAAAUUUUCUCGAAUUUAAAAGAGAUAAUUAAUUAUUAAAGUUAAUGUUGUAUAAUUAUUUUAAAUAAUUAAUUGGAAAUGAGAUGUUAAUCGUUUUUAAAUAUAUCUAGUUUUUUUAGAAAAAAAUUUAAUUUUAAAUUUUAAAAAGAAUAUAAUUUUAAUUAAUUAAAAUUAUAUUUUUAAAAUUAAAUAUUUUAAGGGAUAAGCUUUAAAAUAAAUUUUUAUAAUAAAUUUUAACAAUAAUUAAAAUUUUUAAAAUUUAUAUUGUUUAUAAAUUAUAAUUUUUUAUAAAUAAUUUUAAUUAAAUUAAAAUUUUAAAUUUAUUUAAUUUUUUAUUAAAAAAUAUUUUUUAAUAAUUAAAAUUUAGAUAUAAUGAUAAAAUUAGUAUAUAAAUGAAUAAAUAAUAUAGUUUAUUAUUUGAUAAUUUAAUAAAAGGAAUUCGGCAAAAAUUAUAUUCACUUGUUUAUCAAAAACAUGUCUUUUUGGUUAAUAAUUUAAAGUCUAAUCUGCCCACUGAUAAUAUAUUAAAGGGCUGCAGUAUUUUGACUGUACAAAGGUAGCAUAAUCAUUAGUCUUUUAAUUGGUGACUUGUAUGAAAGAUUUGAUGAGAUAUAUACUGUCUCUUUUUAAUUUAUAAAAUUUAAUUUUUUAGUUAAAAAGCUAAAAUAUAUUUAAAAGACGAGAAGACCCUAUAGAGUUUUAUAUUUAUAUAAAUUAAAAUUUUUUAUAAGCUUUAAAAUUUUAAUUUAUAUAAAUAUUUUGUUGGGGUGAUAAAAAAAUUAAAAUAACUUUUUUUAUAAUUUUACAUUAAUAAAUGAAUAAAUGAUCCGUAAUUUACGAUUAUAAGAUAAAAUUACCUUAGGGAUAACAGCGUAAUUUUUUUUUUUAGUUCAAAUAAGAAAAAAAGUUUGCGACCUCGAUGUUGGAUUAAGAUAAAAUUUAAAUGCAAAAGUUUAAAAUUUUUGAUCUGUUCGAUCAUUAAAAUCUUACAUGAUCUGAGUUCAAACCGGUGUAAGCCAGGUUGGUUUCUAUCUUUAAAAUAAUAAAAUAUUUUAGUACGAAAGGAUCAAAUAUUUAAAAUAGUUUUAUUUAAAAGAAUUUUAAUAAUAGUAUAUUUUUAAAUAUG